rnacentral:rRNA from 1 species
CCUACGGGAGACAGCAGUAGGGAAUCUUCCACAAUGGGCGAAAGCCUGAUGGAGCAACGCCGCGUGGGUGAAGAAGGUCUUCGGAGUGUAAAACUCUGUUUAUAGAGGAGAAAGUUCGUGAGAGUAACUGUUCACGUUUCGACGGUAUCUAACCAGAAAGCCACGCAUAACGACGGGACAGCAGCCGCGGUAAUACGUAGGUGGCAAGCGUUAUCCGGAUGGAUUGGGCGUAAAGGGAACGCAGGCGGUCUGUUAAGUCUGAUGUGAAAGCCUUCGGCUUAACCGGUGUACUGCAUUGGAAACUGGGAGACUUGAGUGCAGAGGAGGAGUGUGGAACUCCAUGUGUAGCGGUGAAAUGCGUAGAUAUAUGGAAGAACACCAGUGGCGAAGGCGGCUCUCUGGUGUGUUACUGACGCUGAGGUUCGAAAGCGCGGGUAGCAAACAGGAUUAGAUACCCUAGUAGUC